rnacentral:rRNA from 1 species
GUCUUUUUGAGGUAUAUAAAAAGUCUAACUGCCCACUGAAUUAUUAAAUGGCCGCAGUACCCUAACUGUGCAAAGGUAGCAUAAUCAUUAGUCUUUUAAUUGAAGGCUGGUAUGAAUGGUUGGACGAAAUAUUAACUGUUUCAUAAAAAUUAUUAGAGAACUUUAUUUUUUAGUCAAAAAGCUAAAAUAUAAUUAAAAGACGAGAAGACCCUAUAAAGCUUUAUAUAAAUAUAUAAAAUUCAUAAAAAGAUUUAUUGAUGAAUUUUAUAAGUUUAUAUUUUAUUGGGGUGAUAGUAAAAUUUAAAGAACUUUUAUAAAUUAAAUCAUUGAUUUAUGAAUAAUUGAUCCAUCAUUGAUGAUUAGAAAUUUAAGUUACUUUAGGGAUAACAGCGUAAUCUUCUUGGAGAGUUCAUAUCGAUAAGAAGGAUUGCGACCUCGAUGUUGGACUAAGGAAUAUCUUAG